rnacentral:rRNA from 1 species
AGCGAACGCUGGCGGCAGGCCUAACACAUGCAAGUCGAGCGGGGUUUUCGGACCUAGCGGCGGACGGGUGAGUAAUGCGUAGGAAGCUGCCCGAUAGAGGGGGAUACCAGUUGGAAACGACUGUUAAUACCGCAUAAUGUCUACGGACCAAAGUGUGGGACCUUCGGGCCACAUGCUAUCGGAUGCGCCUACGUGGGAUUAGCUAGUUGGUGAGGUAAUGGCUCACCAAGGCGACGAUCUCUAGCUGGUUUGAGAGGAUGAUCAGCCACACUGGAACUGAGACACGGUCCAGACUCCUACGGGAGGCAGCAGUGGGGAAUAUUGGACAAUGGGCGCAAGCCUGAUCCAGCCAUGCCGCGUGUGUGAAGAAGGCCUUCGGGUUGUAAAGCACUUUCAGCGAGGAGGAAGGGUGGUGUGUUAAUAGCACAUCAUUUUGACGUUACUCGCAGAAGAAGCACCGGCUAACUCUGUGCCAGCAGCCGCCGUAAAAC